CUUCCCCAUCGUCGCUGGCAUCUGACGAGGGCGGCAGUGUCACCUAGGAAGUGGCUGGCGCCCAACUUGGCCGCUCACCUCAGCCUCGCCGACCACCAGCCGACGCCUCGUGUCCGCUGCUUUGAUUUGGGUAACCGUCGACUUACUCGCCGGUCACACGGGCGUCACGGCUCCGCCCCGUCAUGGGAGCAACGUGCAGAUUUGAUAGGCCAUGUAGAACUAAUAGUGGGCCUUCAAGUUUCUAAAGGCUGAGGGGUCAUCGAGGAGCCGGCGCCGCCUUCGUUGCGGACCUGCAGGUCGCCAUCUGGACAUCGCUGCCGAGGUCCGCCUUCGCCUUCGCCCUUUGCAUGUUCAUAUAUCCAUUGGACGCCACAUCAAUUUUUCACAGUACGUACAUCUGUUGGGCACUGAUACAUACAUCCAUUAACGCCUCCGGCUCCUGUCCUUGUGCUUCAUGACUCCUUGUGCUUCAUGACCUUGGGCGGGACUGGCGCGGACAUGGAGAACAGGGACAGGGCCAGGUUUGUGUAUGUGUUGCGAACUUGCGAUAGUCCUCGACCGGGUGCUCGCCGGCGAUGACCGUGGCCUAGCAGGUACACUUAUGUUUCAUGUCUAUUCUGCAGAUUUUCAGAACACUGAGUGCAUAUCUUGCCUUGCAAUGUUGUUGAUUCGACAACCAGCAGCCCCAAGCAAGAUGAACUCGAUUGGAAGAUGUCUUCUAAACUCUGAAGGCAAGCACUCGGCCGACACUUUUGUUUCUGUAGAAGGCAUGUCGUUUGAUUCAUGCCAAGAAGCGUACAAACAGUAUAAGCUAUUCGCUUGGGAGAAUGGUUUCGGAAUUAAUCAUGGAAAGCAGAGAUGAGGGCAUGCAUGUUACAAAAUUGUGUACUGGUGCUAGGUCAGUUACAUAGCGUCUUGCUUGAAAUUGUAGUACAACUAUAUUCUUCUCGUUUCCCCAUCCACUCCAUGAUGGUCUUGCACUUGAAUUUUUUUCAUGCUUUGAAAUUGCUUGGUAUUUAUAUUGUAGACAGUGGGAUUGCCAUUGUCUUGUUUGGUUCUUUGUGUGCAGGUUAAGAGGGACAAAGGUAAAUCUUCUUCGUGCAAAACAGAAUGAAGGCGAGGAUGCAUCUCCUCCAUGCAAAGCAGGUUGGUAUGUGAGCAUAUUCUAGAACCAGCAAAAUCACACUCUAUCUGCAAUUUGUGAAGAGAAGAGGUAGUGGAACUCACACAGUGAGAUCAAUCCAGUUCUUAUGAAAAAAUUUCAUCAAAAAUCUCAAAUUAAAUAAUUUCAGCCUCAGCAAGGUGUACAAUAUUCUCACCGCAAUGCAUAGCGAUUAGACGGGAGCAACAUUCCGUAAGCAAAACUUAAGGUACCUUUGCUCAACGCUUGCUUAGUAUUCAAUAACAAAUGACAUGGUGUUCUGUGUUGUAGCCAGAAUUUGUUUUUUUUUAUUUGCUACAGUUUGUGAAUUUUAUCACUAGCCCUAUACCAUGAAAAACAACAUGCUAUAUAAUCAAAGUUCAUUUUUUGUCAGUAUAUAUACUUCUAAUUUCCAUUGGUAUUGUUGUCACUUCUACCAUUGUACUGGACCUCAAAGGGUGAAGGAUGGGUUUGUUUCCUGCUUUACUAGGGCUCAUGAAGAAUAUGUCCAUUUGUACAUUACAAGUAGAUGUGUCGUAAUUUUUAUCUUCUAGCUAUUAUUUCCAACAAAAAAAUUGGUUGCCAUGUUUGUGUUUGCAUUCUUCUCAUUUGGUAGGGAAUUCCAGAAUUGAAGAGCAUAUUGCCUUUACACAAUAUUCUUUUCUCUUAAGAUAAUCUCAAGCAUAUAAAUUAGGUAUUUCACUCCUCAAUGUAAUGAUGUAUGACUCUAAACCAUUUGAGGCCUCUCUAGGAAGUCGGAAAUCUCAUUCAUUCCUUAGACAUGAGAUAUUACAUGCUUAUUACAUGCAAGGUUAAGGAAUAAAAAAAUCAUAUAUGGUUGUGUACGCCAAGGUGCUCGACUUAGAAUUGUGUUGUUUUUGGUUACUUUGCAAGCUAACCUUCUAUUGCCUAAACUUAUUGACCAUCCGAGAGAAGAUUGUGGACUGCUAAGAGAUGUGCAUUAAACAAUCAUGAAGAAUGAAUGGCAUUUUCAUGUAACAUAACUCAGUAUCAGGUUUAGCUUGAAAGAAUAUGCCAACUCCCGCAGGUUCAAAUGACUUGAAGAAAUAAUGUGAGAAGCGAGUAUAGGAGGAGGUUGAACAUUAAAGCGAAAAUGAUUACAAGGUCUAUCAGCAUGGGUAAAAGAAAACUGAGGAGACAUCCAUGACGUGGGGAACCUAUAUUUCAUAACAUUAUCUUUUCGUUAGUUGAUCCAUUCGAUUAUUUGAAACAAUUGGCAAUAAUCUAUAUUUGGAUAGGGAAUUUAUUUGUUAACUUUGUGUCAUUUUUAUGUGUAAGAAUAUGUUGCUAAUAAUGUCUACUUAUACAUUGUUGUGAUGUCUAAAUGUCUACAUCAAUGAUGCAUGUUAGAGCAUCCUAAUUUUGGCAAUAGCUUUGUAAGCAAGUAUUUUAUGUUGAUUUUAUGUAAGUAAAUAUUUUUAAC